AGUGGCGAACGGGUGAGUAACGCAUCGGAACGUGCCCAGUAGUGGGGGAUAGCCCGGCGAAAGCCGGAUUAAUACCGCAUACGACCUACGGGUGAAAGGGGGGGAUCGCAAGACCUCUCGCUAUUGGAGCGGCCGAUGUCAGAUUAGGUAGUUGGUGGGGUAAAGGCCUACCAAGCCGACGAUCUGUAGCUGGUCUGAGAGGACGACCAGCCACACUGGGACUGAGACACGGCCCAGACUCCUACGGGAGGCAGCAGUGGGGAAUUUUGGACAAUGGGCGCAAGCCUGAUCCAGCCAUGCCGCGUGCGGGAAGAAGGCCUUCGGGUUGUAAACCGCUUUUGUCAGGGAAGAAAAGCUUUGGGCUAAUACCCCGAGGUCAUGACGGUACCUGAAGAAUAAGCACCGGCUAACUACGUGCCAGCAGCCGCGGUAAUACGUAGGGUGCAAGCGUUAAUCGGAAUUACUGGGCGUAAAGCGUGCGCAGGCGGUUUUGUAAGACAGAGGUGAAAUCCCCGGGCUUAACCUGGGAACUGCCUUUGUGACUGCAAGGCUUGAGUGCGGCAGAGGGGGAUGGAAUUCCGCGUGUAGCAGUGAAAUGCGUAGAUAUGCGGAGGAACACCGAUGGCGAAGGCAAUCCCCCUGGGCCUGCACUGACGCUCAUGCACGAAAGCGUGGGGAGCAAACAGGAUUAGAUACCCUG
rnacentral:rRNA from 1 species